GGGGGCGAAAAGGUUUCGACGGGGGUAGAGUUGGUCAGGGUAGCGAGUCGGGUUCCCGACACCCGUAAAACAGGGAAAACAAAAACAAACGCAAACAAUAAUUACGCGUACGCUGCCUAGCUAGGCAGCCGUCGGCCCGCACUUUUCCUACGAGGGCGGUAACUGGCGUCAUGAAAGUAGGAGUAGGGUUAUCGAGCGCCUAGUAAGUAACCCGAAAUCAUAGGCUAGCGAAAGCCUCAGCCCGUCAGUGGGCGUAGGCAAGGGCGAAUCACCAAAUCGCUGACUGCACUCGGAGAAACUCUGGCAGGCAUAUCUUCGGACGGCGGGUUCGACUCCCCCCGCCUCCACCA
rnacentral:tmRNA from 2 species